AACGUAGGAGACGAACGUUAUCCGGAGUUACUGGGCGUAAAGGGCGUGCAGGCGGCUUGCUAAGUUCGGCGUGAAAUUUCCCGGCUUAACCGGGGGAUGUCGUCGGAGACUGUCGAGCUAGAGGGUGAUAGAGGCGUGUGGAAUUCCGGGUGUAGUGGUGAAAUGCGUAGAGAUCCGGAGGAACACCAGUGGCGAAGGCGACACGCUGGGUCAUACCUGACGCUAAAACGCGACAGCAUGGGGAGCGAACGGG
rnacentral:rRNA from 1 species